rnacentral:sRNA from 1 species
CCUCACGAACGUCUGCCCAGGAUAUCUCUCCACUCCUCCACGGCCAUAGUGGCGGAUCCGGUGGGAGGGGCCUCUCACCUCCCAGGCUGUUAGGCUUCGCUCAGCCUGCGACCCCGACUCUAAUUCCGCCCGGGGACGGCUGUGGGGUGUCCUGCGGCUGGUGCUCGCCGGAACCCACUCCUCCCCCAGCAGCAUGGGACGGUUGGCCCGGAGCCUUGCACCGAGCGUCUUGCCCCAGACGAGGCGUCCUGUCAGCCUAGGCGUAAUCCUGCUGCCCACUCUCUCCCAGAAGGAGAGGCAGCCAACCCGAGGUGCUGUGCUGCAGGACAGUCUCCAGCGCGUGCUCAUUUACCGCCUUAAUGAAUCACCUAGGUUGCUUUGUCCAUGGGGGUCUUGGGGAGACUAAAACUUGGUCCUGAGUGAGUUUAAUUUAUCGCACAUUGAACUAUGAGCUCUCAAUCAAGUGCAGGUUAUGGGAGAACAGAUUUAUUUCACCUAUUGCAAAGCAAUAAAAAUGAAUUUUAUUUGAAA